rnacentral:rRNA from 1 species
AAAGCCGGUCUCAGUUCGGAUUGGGGUCUGCAACUCGACCCCAUGAAGUCGGAGUUGCUAGUAAUCGCAGAUCAGCAUUGCUGCGGUGAAUACUUUCCGGGGCCUUGUACACCCCGCCCGUCACGUCACGAAAGUCGGUAACACCCGAAGCCGGGGGCCCACCCCCUUGGGGGAGGGAGCUGUCGAAGGGGGGACUGGCGAUGGGGACNAAGUCNUAACGAGGUAGCCGUACNGGANGGGGCGGUUGG